UAUUAAUUGAUGAGUGUUUUCUCCCUAUAUUUCUUUUUACUCCUGUCACCUUUCCUCACAUGGGUCAGGAGACAGGACCUCCUGUGCUUCCUGGGAGGCUGUCAGGAUGGAGCCAGAUAACAAAGGCUAUAUGAGGGCGUAUGACACAAGUUAUAUGUUGUGUUAUAACAUAUGUUACGUGUUCUUAAGCUAUAUUAAGAAAUACAGCAAGAGAAAGAUCCCAGUGACAACUGCAACAGUAACAAAGAUUAUCAAGAAAUUAACUUCAAAAGAAAUGUACAGGAUUAACCUACAGAAAGUUAUUGGAGAAAUAACUACUGAGAAUAGGAAUUCAUCUUUUAUGAUCCAGUUAUGUUCCUAAAUGAAGUUAUUUGAUGACUACAGUCCAAAGAUAGCUUCUAUCAACUCCUAGGUAUUUAUUGUCUCUACAUAUUCAUGCUCCCUUAGAAUUAUACCUUUUCUCCUAAGUUUUUUUGUGGUAAAAUAUACAUAACAUGAAACCACCAUCUUAAUCAUGUUAAGCAUACAGUUCAGUGGUAUUAAGUACGUUCAUAUUCUUGAGCAACCAUCGCCAGUACUUUUCCUCUUGCAAAACAAACUCAAUACACAUUAAACAGUAACUCUUUACUCCUAGUUAUACUUUUUGGUAUGAAUGCUCUCCAGUUUUAUCACUCAAACUACACUGUAAGCCCCUAUAGGGAGCAGUUAUGUAUUAGUUACAUAACAUACACAUUUGUUACUUACUGUCAGUUCCUGUUCCAAGUGCUUUGCAAAUAUUAACUUGCAUAAUUAUUCAUCUUUGUAUGUUGCAGAGGGUCUAGCAUGUGCUUUGCAUGUGGGACACAUAAAAUAUUUGUGGAAUGAAUUUCGGUACUAUUUAAGCAUUUCCAAGUGACUGUGGCUGUUCUUCUGGUUGGAAAGUUACCUUGGGGAAAUUUAUUUGGGGAAUAAUCCGA